GACGAACGCUGGCGGCGUGCUUAACACAUGUAAGUCGAACGGAAAGGCCCUGCUUUUGUGGGGUGCUCGAGUGGCGAACGGGUGAGUAACACGUGAGUAACCUGCCCUUGACUCGGGAUAACUUCAGGAAACUGGGGCUAAUACCGGAUAGGAGCUCCUGCUGCAUGGUGGGGGUUGGAAAGUUUCGGCGGUUGCGGAUGGACUCGCGGCUUAUCAUCUUGUUGGUGGGGUAGUGGCUUACCAAGGCUUUGACGGGUAGCCGGCCUGAGAGGGUGACCGGCCACAUUGGGACUGAGAUACGGCCCAGACUCCUACGGGAGGCAGCAGUGGGGAAUAUUGCACAAUGGGCUGGAAGCCUGAUGCAGCAACGCCGCGUGCGGGGAUGACGGCCCUUUCGGGGUUGUAAAACCCGCCUUUCGCCCUGUGAC
rnacentral:rRNA from 1 species